UACGUAGGGAGCAAGCGUUGUCCGGAAUCAUUGGGCGUAAAGCGCGCGUAGGUGGCUCUAUAAGUCCGUUGUGAAAGUCAAAGGCUCAACCUUUGAAAGCCGAUGGAUACUGUAGAGCUAGAGUACGGAAGAGGCGAGUGGAAUUCCUGGUGUAGCGGUGGAAUGCGCAGAUAUCAGGAGGAACACCAAUAGCGAAGGCAGCUCGCUGGGACGUUACUGACACUAAGGCGCGAAAGCGUGGGGAGCGAACGAGG
rnacentral:rRNA from 1 species